GACAGAGGGUGCAAACGUUGUUCGGAAUUACUGGGCGUAAAGCGCGUGUAGGCUGCUCGGAAAGUCGGAUGUGAAAGCCCUGGGCUUAACCUAGGAAGUGCAUUCGAAACUUCCGAGCUUGAGUUCUGGAGAGGAAGGCGGAAUUCUCGGUGUAGAGGUGAAAUUCGUAGAUAUCGAGAGGAACGACCGGUGGCGAAGGCGGCCUUCUG
rnacentral:rRNA from 1 species